GUUCAAAUGUGUUCCAAAUUCAAUGUUGUCUUUUGCUGCUUGUAAUCCCUACUUGUGCUCCAGCUUCUCUGGUUGCUUAAGCCAGGGAUAUUUGGGGUAGGUUCAAUGUUUUUUGCUCUAAUUAGCAGGCCGCGGUUCUGUUCAGGCCCAUAACCGUUUCCCUCCACUUUUGAGCCAGAACGGAAUCAGACCAGAUAGUUUUGGGCCCUUUUGAAUCUACCCC
rnacentral:misc_RNA from 1 species